CUACGGGAGGCAGCAGUGAGGAAUAUUGCACAAUGGGGGGAACCCUGAUGCAGCAACGCCGCGUGGAGGAUGACGCAUUUCGGUGUGUAAACUCCUUUUAUAUGUCAAGAAAAUGACGGUAGCAUAUGAAUAAGCACCGGCUAACUCCGUGCCAGCAGCCGCGGUAAUACGGAGGGUGCAAGCGUUACUCGGAAUCACUGGGCGUAAAGGACGCGUAGGCGGGUUGGAAAGUCAAGUGUGAAAUCCUACAGCUUAACUGUAGAACUGCACUUGAAACUUCUAAUCUAGAGUAUGGGAGGGGGAGAUGGAAUUAGUGGUGUAGGGGUAAAAUCCGUAGAUAUCACUAGGAAUAUCUAAAGCGAAGGCGAUCUCCUGGAACAUUACUGACGCUAAGGCGUGAAAGCGUGGGGAGCAAACAGGAUUAGAUACCCUAGUAGUC
rnacentral:rRNA from 1 species